AUGUGUUCGCAGCUAGAGCCCAUGACUGCACCAGAGCUGUACUCGCAGCUCCUAAGCUUCCGGCCCACUAUGAACCUUUGGCAUGGGGCGUCUGAGUCCUCCGCCAACGCGGGCACUUGUGCUCGCUUCACCAAGCAGCAGAACGGCAAUGCCAGUGGCGGCGGUGAUCACAGCCGCAACUACACCAACAAACAAGGCGGCGGGGCAACAGUGGUGACCGCGGCCGCAAUUUCACCAAGCCAGGCAACCAUGCCGGUUGUAGCGGCAACGGCGGCGGAGGCAACUAUAGCAGCGGUGUCAACUACUCCAACAACCAGGCGGCCAAACCAACUUGCCAGAUUUGCGGCAAGGGUGGACACCCAGCUGGGAAGUGCUGGAAGAGGUUCAACGCCUCUUACCUGA
rnacentral:rRNA from 1 species